rnacentral:tRNA from 1 species
GGUGUUAUGGUUCAGCGGUAGAGUGCUCACCUCACAUGUGUGAGACCCUGGGUUUGAUCCUCAGCACCA